rnacentral:rRNA from 1 species
UACGGGGGGAGCAAGCGUUGUUCGGAUUUACUGGGCGUAAAGGGCGCGUAGGCGGCCACCGCAAGUCGACUGUGAAAUCUCCGGGCUUAACCCGGAAAGGUCAGCCGAUACUGCGGGGCUAGAGUGCAGAGGGGGCAACUGGAAUUCUCGGUGUAGCGGUGAAAUGCGUAGAUAUCGAGAGGAACACCUGCGGCGAAGGCGGGUUGCUGGGCUGACACUGACGCUGAGGCGCGAAAGCUAGGGGAGCGAACGGG